AUGCUCAAAAUUCUCCAAGCCAGGCCUCAGCAAUACGUGAACAGUGAAAUUCCAGAUGUUCAAGCUGGUUUUAGAAAAGGCAGAGGAACCAGAGAUCAAAUUGCCAACAUCCACAGGAUCAUCAAAAAAGCAAGAGAGUUCCAGAAAAAUAUCUGUUUCUGCUUUAUUGACUAUGCCAAAGCCUUUGACUGUGUGGAUCACGAUAAACUGUGGAAAAUUCUGACAGAGAUGGGAAUACCAGACCACCUGACCUGCCUCUUAAGAAACCCGUAUGCAGGUCAGGAAGCAACAGUUAGAACUGGACAUGGAACAACAGACUGGUUCCAAAUAGGAAAAAGAGUAUGUCAAGGCUGUCUAUUGUCACCCUGCUUAUUUAACUUCUAUGCAGAGUACAUCAUGAGAAACGCUGGGCUAGAAGAAGCACAAGAUGGAAUCAAUAUUGCCAGGAAAAAUAUCAAUAACCUCAGAUAUGCAGAUGACACCACCCUUAUGGCAGAAAGUGAAGAAGAACUAAAGAGCCUUUUAAUGAAAGUGAAAGAAGAGAGUGAAAAAUUUGGCUUGAAGCUCAACAUUCAGAAAAUGAAGAUCAUGGCAUCUGGUCCCAUCACUUCAUGGGAAAUAGAUGGGGAAACAGUGGAAACAGUGUCAGACUUUAUUUUGGGGGGCUCCAAAAUCACUGCAGAUGGUGAUUGCAGCCAUGAAAUUAAAAGACGCUUACUCCUUGGAAGAAAAGUUAUGACCAACCUAGAUAGCAUAUUCAAAAGCAGAGGUAUUACUUUGCCAACAAAAGUCCAUCUAGCCAAGACUAUGGUUUUUCCAGUGGUCAUGUAUGGAUGUGAGAGUUGGACUGUGAAGAAAGCUGAGCACAGAAGAAUUGAUGCUUUUGAACUGUGGUGUUGGAGAAGACUCUUGAGAGUCCCUUGGACUGCAAGGAGAUCCAACCAGUUCAUCCUAAAGGAGAUCAGUCUUGGGUGUUCAUUGGAAGGACUGAUGCUAAAGCUGAAACUCCAAUACUUUGGCCACCUCACGCGAAGAGUUGACUCAUUGGAAAAGACCCUGAUGCUGGGAGGGAUUGGGGGCAGGAGUAGAAGGAGACGACAGAGGAUGCGAUGGCUGAAUGGCAUCACCGACUCAAUGGACAUGAGUUUGGGUAAACUCCGGGAGUUGGUGAUGGACAGGGAGGCCUGGGGUGCUGCAAUUCAUGCGGUCGCAAAGAGUUGGACAUGA
rnacentral:lncRNA from 1 species